CAUGAACAUGCUGAAUCACAGAAUCAAGAAUCUCAUCAGUGAAAGAACCCCAAGAGAACAUCCAGUUCCAUUUAUAUUCAGAAAAACCUGGAUUGAUAUAGAGACACAUAAUUAAUGCUUAUUCAUCACCUUUUCUGCCUGGUCUCGAACUACAGUGAAGAAGAUAGCCAAAGCUUGCCUUCAUGGAGCUUACAUUCUGGGAACAAUGAAAAAUGAACACGUAGACCGUGAUAGCACCACGAUGCACAGAAACAACUUGUCGAAGUUGGCUAGAAUACUAAAGGAAACCUGAUCUGAAGAGUGAGCAUUUGUGUUGAAACCUACAAGAUGGGACUGAGCCAAACCAGCAAAGAGCUGGAUGAGGAGUGCUCAUGGCAGGGGAAAUAGCAAUUGCAGAAUCAUGAAAAGGGGCUUAUUCAAGAAACAGAAAAAGGAUCAAUAUGGCUGGGGUGCAGUGUGAGGUCUGAGAGAAGUUUGCAGCCUCUACUAAGAGCAAAGAAAGCCAUUCAAUGAGUUUCAAGCAGGCUUAUGGCACUUCCAGGAAGCAGAGGCAUGGAUACCCUCAUUGCCCUCUCUCAACUUCUGCCUCCACCAUUCCAGCAGAACAA